CAGCUCGGGCCUCUCCCCACGCAUACGCAUCAAUCUUUCGCCUUUUACUAAAGAUUACCGUGGGGACGGGCAAUCGAAUGAGUCUAUUGGCCAAUUUUCAUGAGGCCCUCUCCGUUUAGAUGGGGC